GAUGAACGCUGGCGGCGUGCCUAAUACAUGCAAGUCGAGCGAAUGGAUUAAGAGCUUGCUCUUAUGAAGUUAGCGGCGGACGGGUGAGUAACACGUGGGUAACCUGCCCAUAAGACUGGGAUAACUCCGGGAAACCGGGGCUAAUACCGGAUAACAUUUUGAACCGCAUGGUUCGAAAUUGAAAGGCGGCUUCGGCUGUCACUUAUGGAUGGACCCGCGUCGCAUUAGCUAGUUGGUGAGGUAACGGCUCACCAAGGCAACGAUGCGUAGCCGACCUGAGAGGGUGGUCGGCCACACUGGGACUGAGACACGGCCCAGACUCCUACGGGAGGCAGCAGUAGGGAAUCUUCCGCAAUGGACGAAAGUCUGACGGAGCAACGCCGCGUGAGUGAUGAAGGCUUUCGAGUCGUAAAACUCUGUUGUUAGGGAAGAACAAGUGCUAGUUGAAUAAGCUGGCACCUUGACGGUACCCAACCAGAAAGCCACGGCUAACUACGUGCCAGCCGCCGCCGUAA
rnacentral:rRNA from 1 species